AUUCAUCUGGCAGAUAAAUGCAUUAAAUUUAGGAUUUAAAGAUAAAUAAUUUUUGUUGAAUA
rnacentral:tRNA from 1 species